rnacentral:tRNA from 1 species
ACUCCCAUAGUGUAGUGGCCAAUCACGCGGGUCUUUGGAACCCGAAACCGAGGUUCGAGUCCUCGUGGGAGCA